GCCAGUGUGGUAUAGUGGUUUGAGCACUGGACUGCAACUCUGGAGACCAAGGUUCAAAUCCCUGCUCUGCUG